ensembl:misc_RNA Metazoa_SRP Metazoan signal recognition particle RNA
GCCGGGUGUGGUGGUGGGCACCUGUAGUCCCAGCUACUUGGGAGGCUGAGGCAGGAGAAUCGCUUGAGCCCAGGUGGCGGAGGUUGCAGUGAGCCGAGAUCAUGCCACUGCACUCCAGCCUGGGCAACAGAGCGAGACUCCAUCUCAA